GACGAACGUUGGCGGCGUGCUUAAUACAUGCAAGUCAACUGAAGCAGUGGUAGCAAUAUCGCUGUGGAGGUGGCGCACGGGUGAGUAACACGUAGGUAAUCUGCCUUCAGGUCUGGCAUAACUCCGGGAAACCGGGGCUAAUAGCAGAUGAUGCAGCGGCUCGACAUCGAGACAGUUGUUAAAGCUAUGGCGCCUGAAGAUGAGCCUGCGUCUGAUUAGCUAGUUGGCGGGGUAACGGCCCACCAAGGCAACGAUCAGUAGCUGGUCUGAGAGGAUGAUCAGCCACACUGGAACUGAGACACGGUCCAGACUCCUACGGGAGGCAGCAGUAAGGAAUAUUGCUCAAUGGGAGAAAUCCUGAAGCAGCAACGCCGCGUGAGGGACGAAGGGCUUUUGCUUGUAAACCUCUGUAGUGAGAGAAAAAAAUCCCAAUCUUUGGGACAUGAUGGUACCUCAAAAGUAAGCCCCGGCUAACUACGUG
rnacentral:rRNA from 1 species